UAUCCUGGCUCAGGACGAACGCUGGCGGCGCGCCUAACACAUGCAAGUCGAACGGGGUUAUACGGGAUGAAGUUUUCGGAUGGAAUUCUAUAUAACCUAGUGGCGGACGGGUGAGUAACACGUGAGCAACCUGCCUAUCAGAGGGGGAUAACGAUUGGAAACGAUCGCUAAUACCGCAUGACAUAGCGAAGAGGCAUCUUUUUGCUAUCAAAGAUUUAUCGCUGAUAGAUGGGCUCGCGUCCG
rnacentral:rRNA from 1 species